rnacentral:rRNA from 1 species
UACAGAGGUCUCGAGCGUUGUUCGGAUUCAUUGGUCGUAAAGGGCGCGUAGGCGGUCAGCACAAGUCAGUUGUGAAAUCUCCGGGCUUAACUCGGAAAGGUCAACUGAUACUGUGCGACUAGAGUGCAGAAGGGGCAACUGGAAUUCUCGGUGUAGCGGUGAAAUGCGUAGAUAUCGAGAGGAACACCUGCGGCGAAGGCGGGUUGCUGGGCUGACACUGACGCUGAUGCGCGAAAGCCAGGGGAGCGAACGGG